CCUACACUGCCUCGUUCGACGUGAGUUUUUCCAUUAUGUGCUUAAGUGAUUGAUUGCAAUACGCGAAAACAGUUUGAACAUCAGCCUAUUACGAUAAUUACUCGCACGCAUAAUGUACAACGCUGAUCGAAAAGUGCAUACAAAGUGAAAACGGAUUACAUAAAACUUUUUACAGAUCGAUUGCACACAAACAUAAAGUUCACAACAAUCACAGGUGCAACUGCUUGUCCCGCUCAUUGAACAUCCACUCGAUCCACUCAAAUUUCUCAUUAACGUCUUUCAUGACGCCGAGCAUGUCCCAGUAGCGCUUCUGUGCAAGAAGUGCACAUGCGAAAAAGUAGAGAGGUGUACGCCGCUGCAGUCGUCCCGUCGCCAACAACUCUUCAACGCAAGCAAUGCCGGCAUUGUUGUUCGAAGUCAUCAUGGUAUUAAUUUUCGCUGCCACUUUCUCCCCUGCACUGGUGGCACGGUCGAUUGAAAACAACAACUCACGCGCUGAGAUCUUUUUCUUCUUGCCACGUUGCUUAGCGCUAGAAGACUUCCUUUUACGGCCACUGGUGGUGCUAGAGACGUUUAUGCCAACUCCGACGUUUGCUUUGUCCAUCUCAUCACAAGAACCACUGCUCUCCCCGUCAAUCGGGAUUACGUCCAUAUUGUCUUCGAGCACACUAUCCUCGAAUAGGCAGAAUCCAGUUUUGCACAAUUUUGUUGGCGUGACUGCGUACUUGUCGCCGAAUAGCUGACGGUAGCGAACAUAGAUAUUGUUGACGUCCUUGUCUUUAAAUUCUUUAUCGUCCUUAUUUUCCUGCGAAUAAAGGUUUCACCAGUGAGGCUACCAUUUUGGGCAUUGUAAAGAGUUCUAG
rnacentral:lncRNA from 1 species